rnacentral:rRNA from 1 species
AGUAUGUAGGGUGACUUAGUAGGUAAAUCCAUUAAGUUAUAUCUGAGGUAUGAUAUACAGUCGUAAGAUGAAUGUGCAAAUCCCACGCUGCCAAGAAAAACUUCUAGCGUUAAUAUAUGACUGCCCGUACUGUAAACCGACACAGGUGGUCAGGAUGAGAAAUCUAAGGCGGACAGGCUAACUCUCGUUAAGGAACUCUGCAAAAUGACCUCGUAACUUCGGGAGAAGAGGAGCCCUUGUGUGUGAGUAUACACGCGAUACAAAGCGCACGAGGGUCGCAGUGAAGAGGCUCAAGCAACUGUUUAACAAAAACACAGGUCUAUGCUAAGCUGUAAGGCGAUGUAUAUGGGCUGACACCUGCCCAGUGCUGGAAGGUUAAGAGGAGGAGUGAGAGCUCCGAAUUGAAGCCCCAGUGAACGGCGGCCGUAACUAUAACGGUCCUAAGGUAGCGAAAUUCCUUGUCGGGUAAGUUCCGACCUGCACGAAUGGUGUAAUGAUUUGAGCGCUGUCUUGACGGGAGGCCUGGUGAAAUUGUAUUACCGGUGAAGAUACCGGUUACCUACAGUAGGACGGAAAGACCCCAUGGAGCUUUACUGUAGCUUGGUAUUGGGUUUUGGCAUUGCAUGUAUAGGAUAGUUGGGAGACUAUGAUGGUAUGGCGCUAGCUGUAUCGGAGUCAUCGGUGGAAUACCAACCAUUCAAUGCUGAAAUUCUAAUCUGUGGUUUGUAGCCACGGAGACAGUGCUAGGUGGGCAGUUUGACUGGGGCGGUCGCCUCCGAAAGAGUAACGGAGGCGUUCAAAGGUUCUCUCAGGUUGGAUGGAAAUCAACCAUAGAGUGCAAUGGCAUAAGAGAGCUUGACUGCAAGACUGACGGGUCGAGCAGAUGCGAAAGCAGGACAUAGUGAUCCGGCGAUUCCGAAUGGAAGGGUCGUCGCUCAACGGAUAAAAGCUACCCUGGGGAUAACAGGCUGAUCCUACCCGAGAGUCCAUAUCGACGGUAGGGUUUGGCACCUCGAUGUCGGCUCAUCGCAUCCUGGGGCUGGAGAAGGUCCCAAGGGUUGGGCUGUUCGCCCAUUAAAGCGGUACGUGAGCUGGGUUCAGAACGUCGUGAGACAGUUCGGUCCCUAUCCACUGUAGGCGUUAGAAUAUUGAGAAGACCUGUCCUUAGUACGAGAGGACCGGGAUGGACAAACCUCUGAUGUACCAGUUGUCACGCCAGUGGCACAGCUGGGUAGUCACGUUUGGAAUAGAUAAUCGCUGAAAGCAUCUAAGCGAGAAACUAACUUCAAGAUAAGUAUUCUUUAAGAUACCUUUGAGACUAGGAGGUUGAUAGGUUGGGGGUGUAAGUACAGCAAUGUAUUUAGCUGACCAAUACUAAUUAUCGAAGUUUUAAUCUA